rnacentral:rRNA from 1 species
CGCCUUGCCAGCCCGCUCAGAAACUCAAAGGAAUUGACGGGGGCCCGCACAAGCGGUGGAGCAUGUGGUUUAAUUCGAUGAUACACGAGGAGCCUUACCUGGGCUCAAAUGUAUGUUGACGUAUUCUGAAAGGGAUACUUCUUCGGACAAUAUACGAGGUGCUGCAUGGUUGUCGUCAGCUCGUGCCGUGAGGUGUCGGGUUAAGUCCCAUAACGAGCGCAACCCCUACCUUUAGUUGCCAUCAGGUUAAGCUGGGGACUCUAAAGGAACUGCCUACGCAAGUAGUGAGGAAGGCGGGGAUGACGUCAAAUCAGCACGGCCCUUACGUCCAGGGCUACACACGUGCUACAAUGGCCGAUACAGAGGGCAGCUACCUGGUGACAGGAUGCAAAUCUCCAAAGUCGGUCUCAGUUCGGAUCGGAGUCUGCAACCCGACUCCGUGAAGUCGGAAUCGCUAGUAAUCGUGAAUCAGAAUGUCACGGUGAAUACGUUCCCGGGCCUU